rnacentral:lncRNA from 1 species
UAUUGUUCGGGCUUGAGUUUGGAUUCCUAAACGGCUAAACGAAGCUUUUGUUUGGUUUGCUGCUCCGUAGAAGGUCAGUGUACACUGACCCUCCCUUUUCUUUCGAUUAUUUGUGUUUAUUUUGUGAUUCUAAUGUCUUCUCUGUUGACUUCCUUUUGUUCAUGAUAUAUGUUAGUAAUCUUAUGAUUGCCUGCUAUGUUUUCUGCUGUUCUUAUUGAUCUAAAAUGAUUAUUCUCCUGAUAACUUAUGAUUGCCCUAGUAUUGCUAGCUAAUCUGUGCUAAUGAAAUCCGUGACUUAACUAGAUAACAUUUGCUAUAGUAGAUGAUAUAAAUCCUGUUGAACUCUUGUCAUUAGCUAAAAGACUUCUGAUGUUUUCUAUGACUGUUUUGCUAACCAUGCCACCAUGCUUAUCUAACUUGAUUAAGCUAUGAUCUUAAACUCUUUCUUGACAUCCUGUUGAGAGUUUAUAUCUGCACAUCUGUGCUUAGUUUAGUGAUGUUGUACCACCUUUGAUUCAACUAAAUGACCUUCAUCAUAGUAUCCAUCCCACACACUUAACCUACCUGUUUGACCAACUAAUCUGUUACUAUAACUAGGCCUGCUGUAUAUACUUAAUAACUUACAUAUACUUGUUACUAUAACCCGAACUCCUGUAAUGAAUUCAUCAUCUUCAUCAUUUUAUUAUCUGCUCGUUUGAUGUGUCCUGUAAUCAUGAAAUCCUGUAGAAGCUUCCUUGCGUAUAAGUUGAGUGAAAUAUGUUAACUUUCCAUGCUUUUGUUUGCCCAGUUGUGUUCAUAAAAUUCCUGUUUGCUUUCAUAUAGGAAAGACUCAUGCCUAAGCCACUGUAUUCUUCACUUGGAAUUGCCUUGUAAAAAUAGAAUUUAAAGCUCACCAGCUUUAACAACUUAACAAUGUAGAAUGUGAGAUGGAAAGUUACUGUUGUCACUCAUAGGCUCAAACAAAUCCAUUAAUGCCUGCUUAUCCUGUUAAAAUGAACAUUGUUUCAUAUCUAGUUGAUGUCUUCUGUCUGUGUAGAUUUAGUUAUGAAUUUGGAAUAUUUGACUGAUGAUCUGAUGGACUAGUGAUCAUAUCACCAAGUUUAGACUAACUUAAAAUUGACUACUUGGCCUGCUUUGAUGCCUUCACUUAGUUAAACAGGGCUGUUAAUAUAGGCCUUUGGUGUAGUGAGGCCUUAAUCAUAUGUAUGUUUGCUCUUGAUUGUUUUCUCAAGACCAUUAUAAUGACUGUUGCUAUCUCGUAUACUUGGAUAAAGGUCCUGAAAUGUUAAGCCUACUGAAACUAAUUAGUACAUGCAUUUUCUUCUAUCAUUCACCCGUGCUCAGAUUAUCCAAUUAGAUGCCCCCCCUGAACUUAUAUUAGUCUACUGAUAGUUUUCCAUUAACUCUCCUUAUUGUACAUAUGUGACAUCUUCUUUAAAUAUUAUGACAUAUGUUAAUAAUGGUCAUUGAUACUAUAAGUGCUUGCAUCAAUCUGUCUUCUUGUGUUUAAGUUCUGAUCCUAAGGUUAAUAAUGUAAUCCUAAGGUGUUCAUGUCCCUGCAUUUUGAAUGAUGUUUUCUGUAACAUUUGAACUUCUUGUAAACUUGAGCCUUUUAUGUUUACUGCUGUUAAUUACUAAAGUGAAUAUCUCAUUUGUAACUAAACCUUUGGAGAAGAGUUAAUGUGAGUGAUUAAGGGUAUUUAGGUUGGAACCUAGUUUGCGGUUAACGUGCCCUUCCAGGACACAAACACUGCUCGUGGUCCCUAAGACCCUCGUGAACUCUGAUGUGCCAGGGAUUCAAAGGGUACCUUGUCCAUGAAUAAGGUUUUUAUCCAAUCUCUUGGUCAUUGACUCUCACUAAUCCUUUUAGGAUUAAUACAAAUAAAAGUGGGUUUUCACUCUAAUCAUAUCUAGUUUAUACAACUUUAUCUUGUUGGACCUCAUGUUGCCUUUACUGUACUCUUUAAUAAUGCCUAUUUGUUACCAUUUUAUUUUGUUGGGCUUCAUGUGGCAUCAUUAUUGUCUUCUCUAUCUCUAUGUAUGCAUGUUUGAAUUUGGGCGUGCCGAGUUUCUUUGAAACUCAAAGCCCAAGUUCCGGUCUAACGUGGCAUCAUUAUUGUCUUCUCUAUCUCUAUGUAUGGAUGAGUUUGGAUAGAAUAAAAUCUAACAGGCUUGCUCGGUCGGGUUCACUCGGUUGAGCGCCGGUUGCGCUCCUCGGUUUUGGGGCGUGACAAUAAAGAUGCUCAAAGAGCUGACAAAACGGAUAGAAUCAGGGUAGAAGAAAAUCGAAACUAAUGACGAAGAGGUAGAAACCUACAAUUCAAGGGUAGACCAGAUCCUAGGAGCACCGCCAAUAUUGAAAGGCCUGGAUUCCAAGAAGUUCGUGCAAAAAUCUUUUCCUUCGACUGCGGCUCCGAAGCCGAUUCCUAAGAAACCUUUUUCGCAUGCCCGAGAUUGCUAAUUAUAAUGGAACGACCGACCCAAAUGAGCAUGUAACCUCUUACACAUGUGCCAUCAAAGGAAAUGACUUAGAGGAUGAUGAUACCGAGUCUAUCCUAUUGAAGAAGUUCGGAGAGACCCUGUCAAAAGGGGCUAUGAUAUGGUAUUACAACUUACCUCCUAAUUCUAUUGACUCAUUUGCUAUGCUUGCGGAUUCUUUCGUGAAAGGACACGCCAGAGACAUCAAGGUCGAAACCAGGAAAUCGGACCUUUUCAAAGUAAAAUAGAAGGAUAACGAGAUGCUCAGAGAGUUCGUGUCCCAGUUUCAAAUGAAACAAAUAGACCUGCCACAUGUCGCUGAUGAUUGGGCCGUUCAGGCUUUCACCCAAGGCCUCAACGUUCGAAGCUCGGUGGCUUCACAACAGUUGAAAUAAAAGCUGAUAGAAUAUCUGGCUAUAAUUUGGGCCGACGUGGAUAACCGAUAUUAAUCGAAGAUCAGAGUGGAAGAUGAUCAACUCAGGUCCCCUUCGGAGUCUAUUUAUCCCGUCAGAAACAUUGAUAGAGUCAAGAGAGACAUCGAUCAUGAACUGAGACCAAACAGGGAUCGGUACCAGCCGUAUAAUGGAGAGCGAAGAAGCAGUAGGUCCGGGCGGAACUCUAUGAGAAAUGAAAGGAGAAGUGCUCGAGGUCAGAGCAACCGGGGACUCAUGAGCAAAAUCAGCUUCGACAGGCCCAUCGGGCCUAAAGAAGCACUGAGGUUAUCAGAAUACAACUUUAAUGUCGAUGCUGCCGCCAUUGUAUCAGCUAUCGGACCCAUCAAAGAUACCAAAUGGCCUUGACCUCUACAAUCCGAUCCAACCAAAGGGAUCCUAACCAUAUGUGUAAAUAUCACGGCACUCACGAUCACAGAACGGAGGAUUGUCGACAGUUGAGAGAGGAAGUAGCCCGACUAUUUAACAGCGGGCAUCUUCAAGAAUUCCUGAGCGACCGAGCCAAGAAUCAUUUCAGGAAUAGGGAUUCUAACAAACAAACCGAACAAGAAGAACCUCAACACAUCAUUAACAUGAUCAUUGGUGGGGUCAAUGUCUCUCAGGGCCGAUGUUGAAACAUACCAAAGUGUCCAUCACAAGGGAGAAACGAACUCGAGAUUACAUACCAAAAGGAACCUUGUCUUUCAAUGACGAGGAUGCGGAAGGGAUUGUACAAUCCCACAAUGAUACACUGGUAAUAUCUGUACUCGUAAGUAAAUUUUGGGUUAAACGUGUGUUAAUUGAUCCAGGUAGCUCGGCUAACAUCAUCCGAUCGAUGGCCGUAAAGCAGCUCGGUCUACAAGAUCAAAUCAUGCAUGCAGUCCGAGUUCUAAAUGGAUUCAACAUGGCAUGUGAAACUACUAAGGGUGAGAUAACGUUAUCGGUGAACAACGCCGGGACCAUCCAGGAAGCUAAGUUUUAUGUGAUCAAAGGAGACAUGAGGUACAAUGCUUUGCUCGGAAGGCCAUGGAUCUACAAUAUAAGAGCAGUACCCUUAACUAUGCACCAAGUGUUAAAAUUCCCAACACCUGGCGGAAUUAAAACAAUCUUCGGAGAACAACCAGCCGCAAAGGAGAUGUUUGCGGCCGAAGAGGCAAUUCCGAUAUCCGCACUUGCAAUGACAAAGGGGUCGAGUUCGGUCACAAAGCUAGAAACUAAAUAGCAAUUACCGACACCAGCUCCGACCGAAUCGGAGAAACAAGGGACUGAUGAAGACGAUGAUUAUGCUUACGGGGUACCUAGGUCUUUUAUAUCCUCCGAUGAUUCUGACGCCACUAAAUCGAUGAUUGAGGAGCUAGAACAAGUCAUAUUGGUCGAGCACCUACCCGAUCGAAAGGUAAACCUAGGCACGGGGUUAAAUCCCGAGCCCAGGAAAAAACUCAUUCAGUCUAGCUAACAUAGAUUGUUUCGCUUGGUCCCACCUUGACAUGAUAGGGAUCCCGCCAGAAAUAACCACUCAUAAUCUAAGCCUGGACCCGAAAUCCCAUCCGGUGAAGCAGAAGAGGAGACCCCAGUCCGAGAUCAAACAUGCUUUCAUCAAGGACGAGGUAUCUAAACUCCUUAAAAUAGGUUCCAUUCGGGAGGUUAAAUACCCGGAUUAGUUAGCGAACGUAGUGGUAGUCCCUAAAAAGGGAAUAAAUUAAGAAUGUGUGUAGACUAUAAGGAUGUGAAUAAGGCAUGUCCCAAGGACUCUUUCCCUUUUCCCAACAUCGAUCGCAUGAUCGAUGCCACGGCCAGCCACGAGAUCCUCAGUUUUCUCGAUGCCUACUCUGGGUAUAACCAAAUACGGAUAGACCUGGGUGACCAGGAAAAAACCUCCUUCAUCACUAAAUACGGCACCUACUGUUAUAACGUGAUAUCAUUCGGGUUAAAAAAAAUGCCGGUUCCACUUACCAACGCCUAAUAAAUCGGAUGUUCGAAGAGUAAAUAGGAAAAUUAGUGGAGGUUUAUAUUAACGAUAUGUUGGUUAAGUCCUUGUGAGCAGAGGACCAUUUGAAACAUUUGCAGGAAACCUUCAGCAUAUUGAAGAAAUACAGUAUGAAGCUGAACCUGGAGAAAUAUGCGUUUGGAGUUGGGUCAGGUAAAUUCCUCGGAUUCAUGGUAUCCAACCGGGGAAUCGAGAUCAAACCCGACAAGAUCAAAGUCAUCGAAUAUAUCACGAUUGUGGACAAUGUGAAGUCGUAAAAAGAUUAACCGAGCGCAUAGCUGCCCUUCGGCGAUUCAUCUCGAGGUCCUCCGACAAGAGCUACCGGUUCUUCACACUAUUGAAGAAGAAGAAUAACUUCUCAUGGACCCCGAAUGCCAACAGGCCUUGGAGGAACUCAAGCAGUUUCUAUCGAGCCCACCGCUGCUCCACACGCCGAAGAUAGACAAACAACUAUACAUGUAUUUGGCAGUAUCGGAGAUAGCUAUAAGUGGAGUCAUGGUCCAGGAAGAGCAAGGUACGCAAUUUCCAAUUUACUAUGUUAGCAGGACCCUAGGUGAGGCCAAAACUAGGUAUCCUCACCUAGAAAAGUUGGUGCUCGCUUUGCUAAGCGCCUUUGGAAAGCUAAACCAUACUUCCAGUGUCACCCCAUAUGUGUCGUGACUACUUACCCAUUAAGAAUUGUUAUGCAUAAGCCCGAGCUCUCGGGCCGGUUGGCCAAAUGGAUCAUGGAAAUCAGUGGGUACGAUAUUGAAUAUCAACCCCUGACCGCCAUUAAGUCUCAAAUUUUGUCAGACAUUGUGGCCGACUUUACGCCAACCCUAAUAUUCGAGGUCGAAAGAGAGUUAUUAAUCAACUCAGGAACCUCCUUGGGGAUUUGGACCCUCUUUACGGACGGCGCCUCAAAUGCAAAAGGGUCCGGACUUGGCAUCGUAUUGAAGCCACCAAUAGGCAACGUAGUUAGACAAUCUAUUAGGACUGUGAAAUAGACUAACAAUGAGGUCGAGUAUGAGGCCAUGAUUGCAGGUCUAGAACUAGCCAAAAGUUUGGGGGAAGAGGUAAUUGAAGCUAAGUGCGACUCCCUCCUUGUGGUAAACCAAGUUAAUGGGACGUUCGAGAUCAGAGAAGAACGAGAAUGCAAAGGUACCUGGAUAAAUUGCAGGUAACAUUACAUCAAUUCAAAGAAUGGACUUUGCAAUACGUACCUCAGGAUCAAAAUAGUGAGGCCGAUGCCCUCGCUAACCUAGGGUCAUCGGUGGAGGACGACGAGUUCAACCCGGGGGCGGUAGUAUAACUUAUGAGAUCGGUAGUGGAAGAAGGUCAUGCCGAGAUUAACUCAACGAGCCUAACUUGGGAUUGGAGAAAUAAAUAUAUAGAAUACCUGAAGAUCGGUAAACUGCCGUCAGAUCCUAAGGAAUUGAGGGCCCUACGUACAAAGACAGCUCGGUUUAGCCUGUCCGAAGAUGGAACCCUUUUAAGAAGAACAUUCGAUGGCCCACUCGUGAUAUGCCUAGGACCAGGGGACACCGAGUACGAUUUGAGGGAAAUCCACAAAGGCACCUGUGGAAAUCAUUUAGGCACCGAAUCGUUGGUUCGAAAAGUGAUCAGAGCUGGCUACUACUGGAUCGAUAUGGAAAAGGAUGCGAAGGAGUUCGUACGAAAAUAUGAUGAAUAUCAAAGACACACUCCGAUGAUUCACCAACCCGAGGAGCUGUUGCAUUCGGUUUUGUCGCAAUGGUCGUUCCUGAAGUGGGGAUGGAUAUCGUUGGACCCCUUCCGUGGGCACCCGGUAAGGCUCAAUUUAUAUUGUUUAUGACUGACUAUUUUUCUAAAUGGGUAGAAGCCCAGGCAUAUGAAAAGGUUAGGGAGAAGGAAGUCAUCGAUUGCAUUUGGGACCACAUCAUAUGCUGGUUUGGAAUGCCGGCCGAGAUCGUGUGCGACAUGGGAAACAAAUCAUCGGCAGCAAAGUUAGCAAGUUUCUCAAAGAUCAUAACAUCAAAAGGAUCCUAUCAACACCCUACCACCCUAGUGGGAACGGACAAGCAGAAUCAACCAACAAAAUAAUACUCCAAAACCUCAAGAAGAGAUUGACCGACGCCAAAGAAAAAUGGAAGGAAAUCUUGCCCGAAAUCUUAUGGGCAUACUGUACGACCUCGAAGUCCAGUACCAGAGCCACCUUGUUCUCACUGGUUUAUGAUGCCAAAGCUCUAAUACCAGUCGAAGUCGGAGAACCAAGUCUCAGGUUCUGAUACGCAACCAAGGAAUCGAACGACAAGGAUAUGAACACGAGCCUAGAUCUAUUAGAUGAAAGACGUGAAGAAGCCCUUGUCUGGUUAGCUGCCCAAAAAUAGCGGAUCGAGAGAUAUUACAAUCGAAGGGCUAACCAUUGACACUUCAAUGUCAGGGACUUAGUGUUAAGGAAGGUCACACUAAACACCCGGAACCCAAACGAAGGAAAGCUGGGGCCGAACUGGGAAGGACCUUAUCAAAUUAUCGAGAUCACCGGUAAAGGAUCAUACAAGCUCAGAACAAUGAACGGUGAGCAACUACCCAACAACUAGAACAUAACUCACUUGAAGCGAUACUACUGCUAAGGUACGAUCCCAUUUAUUUCCUUUUAUUUAUUUACAUUACGAACUAACACUUGCAGGCAAUCAUCAAAGAACGAUAUAAUCUUUAGGCCUGAAGGCACGCGUUGCACUCUUUUUCCCUUGAACCGUUUUGUCCCAAAUGGGUUUUCCGGCAAGGUUUUUAACGAGGCAAUAGUAAAUCGUGCUAACUUAGAAUUGAAGGCCGGUUACGAACCGGUAUCGAAAAUCACGACAACAGUAUUUGAGGCCUCUCUACGCUCGGCCCCGAACACUAGGGGCAUCACCCUCGAAUAAUGACUUUAACAAGGAAGGAAACUUUAUGAUUGAAUGGCCUCGAAUCGAUCGACAUGAUUUACUGUAAGGUCCAAACGGUCAAAUUAUCGUGCCGGCAUAGACUGCUCGAGCCCUGGCACAAAACUUGUACACAUGUGUAACUAUUACGCACAAGAAUAAAAAGAAGUUUCUACUUUGCGGGUAAAUAUCUUGUCCCUUAAAGAAUUUCUCUUUUUUCUUUUUUCAUCUUAAGGAAUUUCCUACAUCCGAUCCCUUAAAGGUAUCGAGCCCAAGGGCCACGUUUACCCAGGUCCAAACGAUCACUACCAAUCGGGGACUAUCGUCCAAAAACAAACUCGGACAGCUCGGGCUGAGAAAGCCCGAGGGCACAAGCCCUAUUAGGCAACACCCAAACCUUAAAGGCUACGGCCAUUCCCAUUCGGAAACUAUUAUCUUAGGCUAGUCCGGAUAACUCGGAGUAACAAGCCCACUGGCAAACACCCGAGCUAAAGGCUACGGCCAUAUUAAAAUGGCUCAGAGACGUUCGAGACCCGUAAUAAAAAAUAAGGCCUUCAAAAUUUCAUAACCGGUUCUAAAGGCUACUUUCGGCAAACUAUAAUCCAAAAAAUCAUAAGUAAUUUGGGGUAAAACGUUUCUGGUCAUACCAAACCCCAACGAUGCCUUAAACAAAAUAAUGUCUAAGGCAAGGCCUGUUCGAACCUCCGAACAUGACUUAACUAUUUUAUGCUAAGGCAUUUCGAUCUUUGCAAAACAUAAUGAAUAAAGCAAAGGAAAGCAAAAUUCUUAAACCGUCGAAGGGAAAAACAAAGCCUUGUAUAUUAUAUACUGUCUUUACAAAGGCCAAAUGGCCCUAAAAAAACACAAAAGUACACAAGUACAAAAAAAAACAAAAAAACAAAUAUUUUUUUACAAAGGCAUCUAAAUAGCCCGGUCUUCUCCACCCCCGGGUCCAUCGGAGCCCUCGAAGUCUUCUUCUUCUUCUUCUUUUUCUGGGUAGGUCAACUUCUUGGCCUAGGCCUCGAGCCCCUAAGCGUCUUCAAUCUCAAUCGAUAGAUUAAAACCCCGAGCAUGAAUCUCCUCGAGGCCUCUCUUCGCGACUGCCGCUUCUUAUAAUCAACAAUGCCCUUCAAGCGGUCCUGGGCCGCCUCGGCAUCGGCCUUAUAUUUGGCCACCAUCUAGUCGGCGUCGUCUUUAACCACCGCGGCCGCUAACUUGGUCGUUUCUAGUUCCUUGGCCAUAACUUUUCGAUUUGAGGCAGCCGGACUUAGCCGAGACUGGAGCUCUUCAACCUUUUUGGCCUAUACCUCGACCUUUUCCUUUGCUGCUCGAAGCUGGACUUCGGCGAAAGUCAGUUGAGCCCGGGCAGACUCUUUUUCCGAGGCCAGACGAUCCAUCCUGCCCCUCUAUUCAUCGGUCUCGGCCUUGACAGCAUCCAUCUCAGCUCGCAGUUGAUCGAUUUUUUGUUGGACCUGCGGAUUCCGACCGUUAGUCACCGAGCUUAGCUUUUCGUCACUAGGCUCAAAUAUUUUUACCUGCUCGACCAAGUCGGCAUGCUCCUUUCGAUCCACCUCCAGCUUAGCUCGGAGGCUCUUAACCUCCCCCUCACGUUGCUCACUGAGAAGUUUGUACAUAUCUCUUUUCUUAGUAAGCUCUUUGGCUUCGGCCUCGAGGAGACUCAACUCUUCUCGAUAUCAGAGGAAGGUCUCAUGAUAAAACACCGAGGCCUGCAGAUACAAGAAAAAAUAUUAAGAUCAUUAAGUAACCAAAGCUGGAAAAUGAAAAGGUUUGGUAACACCUUACCCGAUUCAAUGCCUAUUGUGCUUCGUUGAAUAAGCAUGGAGAUUCCACCUCGUUUAUCUUUGACUGAUCUUCAUCAGUCACCAGGCACCGGAGGUAACUAGCUACCCCAACAGGCGUGGAAAGGACCCGGGCGUCCUAUGGAACAGAGAUAAUGAUCGACCGCUUCCGACCGGGAUUGACACUUGGGGUAGGAAAUCGAUUGACCAAUCUCGGGCUCGAGCUAGAUCCUCAUGUCCUCGAGGGUGGACUUCUUCUUGGUACUUCCAAACCACCCAAACGGUGACAUCCUCCGUGGUAAUAGAGUCCACGCUAUCAAAAAAGCUUUUGAGGGGAUCGUUCGCUCCUUGGACCCCCUCAUUUGAACGCUCCUUCGCUGCUUGAGAUUCACCGAACAUUGAGUCCGUGAAUGAAGGAGAUUCUGUUAUAUCGAUGACACCUGAUGGAGCAGAACCGGCGUCUUGAGGGUUCUCGACCCUCACUGAUGCGUCGACCUUUUGAGUUUGGGAAGGGUUGGCCUCUAUCGUCCCCUCUUCGGUUGAUGCCCGUUCUUUAGGGACCGAUGGCUCCCGGGACACUAAAAUUUCCUCCUCUUCCGACUCAUUCUAGAGCCGGUAGAAGGAUUCCGACUCAAGUAUUCGGGAGCUGGAGGUUUCUUUUGGCUUACAGAUAAGCCUCCUCUUUGGUUUCUUUUUCUCCAAGCUCGGGGAACUCUGAGCCCUUUUUCUCUUCUUCUCUUCACCAUGUUUCGGAGCAGGGGACGCAGUGGAAAAAUCAUCACUACCAGAUGGGGGCCUUAUUUGGAUAUCCUUGGGUAAACCUGCAAAGGGAAAUAAAAUAAGUAAGGACUUAAUCAUGCAAAGGGGAAACCAAAUAUCACUUAUGAAAGAGAUCUCACCGUGCGAACGGGCCUCCCAUCGACCCUUUGAAAGCUCGCGCCAUGAGCGCUCAGAAUAAGGCCUUUGCGAUACGAUGCCCUCGACCCACUCCUUGAGUCGAGGAACUGCGUUCGGGAUCCGAGCAACAACUGCACCAUCACAAAACAUCGAUAAGAAGGAAGAAAAAAGGCAUUAAAUAAAACUUUGGAAGCAAAAUUAUAUACUUGCGUUUUAUGUUCCACUUCUCAGGGAACGACAUAUGCUCGACCGGGAUCAAGUCCGAGGUUCUCACUCGGACGAAAUGACCUAGCCAACCUCGAUCCCUAUCUUCAUUGACACUCAAGAAUGCGGCCUUACUAGCCCGACAGGCGAGCUUGAUCAGUCCCCUCUGAUAGAGUCGGGGACUGUAUAAGCGCAUGAGGUGAUCGAUCGUAGAAGGGCACCUUUCAAUAUUGCUUACAAAGAAAUGGAGGAGAAUUACGAUCCUCCAGAAGGAAGGAUGAAUUUGACUGAGGGUUACCUCGUAUCUUUUGCAAAAAUCGACGAUAACCGGGUCCAAGGGGCCCAACAUGAAGGGAUAAGUGUAAACACUUAAGAAUCCCUCGACGUGGGUGGUGAUAGCUUCGUUAGGUUCGGGAACCACCACAUGUUUGUCAUCCCAGCUGCAAUCUUUCUUGACUUCGGAUAGAAUAUCCUCGGUGAUCGAGCAGAUGUACCUCGAGACCUCCUCACACCGGCCUAGUACGGAGGAGGGCUUUUCGACUUUAAAAUCAGCAAUUACCAGGCAUCCCCCCGGGAUGAACAUUUUUACGGGAUGUUUCAGUGCUGGUUCCUUGACAGUAGUGCAUGAAUUGGUCUCUUCGGUAGCCGGCCGCGAGAUAGAAGGAGUUUCUUUUUGGAAAACGGUUUUUGAAGUUUUUGGCAUUUCUUUAUAGAGAGGAAAUAAGAAAAAAGAGGAAGUUAAAAGAGUUCACUCAAUGGUUUGAGAAAAAGUCGAAUGAGAGUUCUUAUAAAAAAUCUCAAAGUAACGAGAAUAUAAGUACUUGGAAGUAUUGAAAUUUCUUAGGAACGAGGGCAGAAGGUUUGAAUGUAAAGUUUGGAUGAACAAAUGAGGGGGUAUUUAUAGUUUUCCAAUGACGAUUCAUAUUUAGGAGUGGCCGACCAGCAAUUGACAAGCGUUUAAUGCCAUUAAGACUAGAUUGACGAGAUAUUUUGACGGUUUUGUCGUUUUUGUCGGGUGAUAUCAAAGAAAGAAUCGGAAGCUCAUGUCGUUUCUCGUCGUCUACUCUCCGAAAAACGAGGGGACUAUCUGUGUACGGUCGAAAUCGAGCUCGCCUACGACAUGACAAGUUAGGAACAUGACAACCAAAGACUGAAGAUCGACCCGAGUCCCACCGAGCUAGAACCCGGGGUCAUAACGCCCGCCUUCGAGAACAUUGAGUCCGUAAUCCCGGAGUCGACCUUAGCCCCGAUCGAGCUCGAAGAAACGUUGUUGGCAUAACCAACAGAAGACCGAAAUAUUCGUGAUCGGUCGGAUAUUACGGCGGGAAUCUCGGCACGUAUCAACAAGGCACCGACAAUCAUCAAAUCAAGAGAUUUUUUACCUUUUAUAGAAUUUUACCUAAAGUAGGACUCAUCUACUAUAUAAAGGGGGUCUGAUAAUUCAUUAGAUACAUUGUAACACACAUUCCAAAGCUAUAUACCAUUAUUAUUUUAAGCUCUUGUUCUUCUGUAUCCUGGCACCGAUCGGAGCGCACCUGAUUCGAGGGUGAUUAACCUCUCAUGACUAAGAUUGUUCAAUUCGUGUGGUUUGCAUUUACUUUAUCAUUAUUUAUUUUAAUUGCAAUUUAAUUUAUCGUUUUGUGUCAAGUUAGUUCACGUAUCCUUAAAACCACUUACAAAUUCAAUUGUUAUCCAAUUUUGAGGGUAAAUAGAGAUAAAAUUGGAAAAAAAGAGAAGAAAUUACUACAAGUAGCAGGAUAUCAUAGUAUUCAAUAAAUUGAAAGGGUACAAUCUUUUGAAGAGAAAGAUAGUGAACAUACAUGAGUACUACUAAACUAGAAAUGAUCGAAACAUUAGAAGAUGCAACAAAAGCUUCAUCCAUCUUCUCCAAGAACGCAUCAUAUUUAUUCCAUCUCGUAUGUCCCAUAUCCUUCAUCCUGCUACCCUUAAUAAGGUCACUCACAAAUCUUACUGCACCCUGCAACAUUUAUAAACCGACGACCAAAGAAGAAUUAGAGAAAAAUGAACAAACUCAAUGGUGUAAUUUCUGGUAAGUUGAAGCUCAAAGCAGUUUCAAUCUUAUAAUUCAUUUUUUUUUAAUCAUAGAUUCAGUCUUUAAAUUAGUAUACAUUUAAAAUUAAAUUUUGGGUUUUGCUAACAUAUUGACUGUUUUUCCAUGAUUUGCCCUUUAAGUUAACCUCGCAUUUUUAUUACUUGAGAGUCAUAUUAAUUUGUACAUCUAAACCAAAGUAGUUAUUAUGUGAGGCAUACUUGUUUAUUUGACACGUGACUUAUGAGACUCAAUUGUAGGAGAAAACCAAUAAUAGGUCCUAAGGAGGAAUGGAGGAAAAAGUGGUGGCAGUAUUUUUUUUUCUGGAGAGGCGAAAGGCAUCUAAUUGAAAAAGAGAAGAAUGAAAUGACAAAAAUAUUUAUAUAUUUUAUGUGCAGCCAGGAUUAUUAAUUUUCAAAAGCGUAAUGAAGAGGGUGUUAACCUGCAGUACUCAUGUAGUAUUACAAAAUUAAAGGUGCGUAUUAGAUACGUACGUGGAGCAGUCAAUGGAAGGGCUAAUCUUGUAGGGAAGGUUGACACCACAUUUGCUAGGGAGACUACCAGCAAGAUUGAAGUUGAUGCCACUGAUGCUUGCAGCAGCAGAUUUAAUACAGUUACACGCCGCCUGGCGAUCAGGAGUGGUGGUAGCUUGGUUGUUGAGGGCCUUAAUCCCACUGCAGCAUGGUGCUGGAAGAGCUCCACCUUGCCUCACGUAGUUGAUGCAAGGUGACAACCUCGUAACAACUUGCCCACAUGAGAUGGCAGCAUCUGCAUGAGGAGUUAGCAUUACAGACGUUGCUGCUGCAAUGCACAUUACUACCAACAAUGCUACCUUCACCAUUUUUGAAUGAGCUAGUUUUAAGAUGAGUAUUUGCUAACAAGGGAAAUAGUGUUUUGUUUAUGCAAAUUCUACUUGGUGUGUGAAGAAGGGUUGUGAAAGAGCUCUUUAUUAUAUAGAAGAAUUUGUAACUAAGUAUAUUGUUGUCUGCAGAGUUAUUAUUCUCACUAGCUGGAUUCUUGGACGGUUGGUAGUUGAGUACAAUUUAAUGCUUUGCUCUUCAUGUAUCUUUCCCUUUUUUUUUUUGGGGGGGGGGGGGGGGCGGGGGGACCUAAUUUAAUUUAGUGUACGAAUCACUAGCUAGAUUUUGUUAAGUCUUGGCUAUUUUUCCUUUCAUCUUCUUAUUUGCUUUUGUUGUUUUCCCCUUUUUAUAUAUCUUGGUGGUCUAAUUAUUAGUACACACAUUAUGUUCCAAUUUAAUUGACACUGUUUCCUUUUCCAAUUAAUACCAAAUAUUUCUCGCUAAAAGGUAGUAUAUUUCUAUGAACUGGUAUAAAAUAAAACGUUACGUUGAAUCUAUAUAGGGAUUUACAUGAUUUCUAGAUGCAAAUAGUACUAGAUAAAACUCUACUGUCCUGUGUCCAUAUUCAAAAACCUUGAUGGUCAUGUUCACUAAGAUUAAUGAUAAUACUAGCUUUAUUCUUCUAUUUAAGGAAAUCGUGUAGGGAUUAGUGAUAUGAUUUGUUGUGAACAGUCCAGAUAAUCUUUUACUUUUAUGAUACUAGAACUUUUACUUUAGAUGUUUCCAGUUGUACUUUCGUAUAUGGCAUUAUCCAUCAUAACUUGUUGGCUGGGUGGGAGAACUGUAAGUCUUUUAAUUCUUAGGCGUCGUUUGGUUAUCAGGAUUAGGAUUAUAAUCUCAAGAUAGAGUUUGGGUUGUAAUUGUCCCAAGUUUGAUUAUGGAUAUUAGUUAAUACUGAUACAAAUUUUAUACCAAAUUAGUGGUAUUAACUAUCACAAAUAGAAUGUAGAAUAAGAAUCUCAGGAUUAUAAUUUGAAAAUUAUUAAUCCCUGAAUAUCCCACUUUACAACCAAAUGACCCCUGAACAGUAUAAGUUCUUGCAUUUCUGUAAUUUCUUUUACUUUUCCAACUACCCCUUCCAGCUAUAACAUGUUCAUGUCAUGUUAGGUGAAAGAUGGAACAGAUCAGAUGCAUUCUGAGGGAAUGUGCUAGUAGCCUAGUACGUUAAGGACCCCUUGAUGUUCUAUUUGAUUUAAUAAUUACCCUCUCCCUUUCAGUUAUGUGUCAAAAUUUGGCCGCACAGGAGUUUAAGAAAUUACCCCCUCUGUAUGUUAGUAACAAGUAUAAAUAUAAACAUAAUUUUGUUUAAUCGUAAAAGAAAAGAUAAACAUGUAUACGAAUUUUACAUAUUGAUGAAAUAAAAUAGUGUAAAUAUUUACAUAAAAUAGAGCUAAUAUGAAUUUCAUUUUCAUUAUUAUAAUUUUCUAUAAAAUAUUUGGACCCAUAAUUUUAAACGUUCAAUGAGUUAAAAUUAUGGAUCCGCUCAUGCAUAUUUAUACUUGUGAGUUGUGAAUACUUAAAUAUGGUUUCCAACUUCCUUGUUUCAUUUCUCAUAGAACUAGUUUUUCCAACUUUCCGGGUUGCUUCUAAAUUUUGGUGUGUGUUCAGAAAGGAGGGGCAAGUUCGAGGUUAUAAUAUGAUUAUAGAUGGAAACGCUUUGUAGUUACGCUCAAAAUUAAGUAUAAAGAAGAUAAAGCCUUAUAUCAAUUAUUUUAUAUCCUUAGAAGAAAGUUUCUUGGCAUUUUUAUUUUUUCCUAUUUCUACUUUUAUGAAGUUUCUUUCUUUUCUACAACCGAUAAAAAUCGUGGUUUUAGAAGAUGCAUAUGUAGAAAGCUGGGAGCAGAAUCUGACGUACUGCUAAAAUUAAGAGAACUUAAGAAUUGGCCCGUUUAAAGAGAUCUAAUGCUAGACUCCCUAAAAGAAAGAAAGUCAUGUAUGGAUACUCAUUCCACUAGAGCAUAAAUUACUAAAAGUAGCAGGAUAUCAUAUAUUCAAUAGAUUGAAAUGGAAAGGGUACAAUUUUAUGAAGCUCUUAAUAGCAAGAUGAUGAACAUACACACAACUACUAGACUAUAAAAUUGACGUCCGAACAAAUUAAAGGAAACAUAAAGAGUGCUGCGAAAACUUCAUCCAUCUAGUCCAAGCAACUAGUAUUAUUUAUUCCAUCUUGUAUGCCCUAUAUAUUCUGCGUCUUGCUACCAUGCAUAAAUUAUUUCACAAAUCUUACUGCACCCUGCAAUAUUCAUAAUCAACCAAAAUAAUUAAGAAAAGCGGAAAUAAUAAUUUUUGUUAUGCCAUACAUAUAUUUAGUUUAAAAGUCUUUCUCAUAUAUUCUAAAAUUUCGUAACAAGUGUUGUAGCUAAAAUUAACAUAAAUGAAACUGAUACGGAGUGAAUACUUACGUGGAGCAGUCAAUGGAAGGGCUAAUCUUGUAGGGAAGGUUGACACCACAUUUGCUAGGGAGACUACCAGCAAGACUGAAGUUGAUGCCA